rnacentral:rRNA from 1 species
GGAUGCGAUCAUACCAGCACUAAAGCACCGGAUCCCAUCAGAACUCCGUAGAUAAGCGUGCUUGGGCGAGAGUAGUACUAGGAUGGGUGACCUCCUGGGAAGUCCUCGUGUUGCAUCCC